UACGUAGGGUGCGAGCGUUAAUCGGAAUUACUGGGCGUAAAGCGUGCGCAGGCGGCUUUGCAAGACAGAUGUGAAAUCCCCGGGCUCAACCUGGGAACUGCAUUUGUGACUGCAAGGCUUGAGUGCGGCAGAGGGGGAUGGAAUUCCGCGUGUAGCAGUGAAAUGCGUAGAUAUGCGGAGGAACACCGAUGGCGAAGGCAAUCCCCUGGGCCUGCACUGACGCUCAUGCACGAAAGCGUGGGGAGCAAACAGG
rnacentral:rRNA from 1 species